CGGUAAUUCCAGCUCCAAUAGCGUAUAUUAAAAUUGGUGCGGUUAAAACGCUCGUAGUUGGAUAUCUGCUAAGGGGUUCCGGUCCUUCCCAGUGAAGAAUACGCGCAACUCUUCUUGGCAUUUAUUCAAGGAAGGUGUUUGCACUUUGUUGUGUGUCACAUGAUCUGAAUUUUUACUUUGAGGAAAUGAGAGUGUUUCAAGCACGCUUUCGACCGUGAAUAUGCAUAUGCAUGGAAAUAAUAGCACAGGAACCCUUUCCAAAGCUGUUGGUUUUUGGAACGAGGUAAUCAAAAUAAGGAUAGUUGGGGGUAUUCGUAUUUAACUGUCAAAAGUGAAAUUCUUGGAUUUUUUAAAGACAAAGUAUUGCAAAUGCAUCUGCCCAGGAUGUUUUUAUUGAUCAAGAACGAAAGUUAGGGGAUCGAAGACGAUCAGAUACCGUCCUAGUCUUAACCUUAAACUAUGCCGGCUGGAGAUCGGAGUUGUCAGAAUUGUGACAUCUUCAGCAUCCUGAGAGAAAUCGAAGUCUUUGGGUUCCGGGGGGAGUAUGGUCGCAAGGCUGAAACUUAAAGGAAUUGACGGAAGGGCACCACCAGGAGUGGAGCCUGCGGCUUAAUUUGACUCAACACGGGGAAACUCACCAGGUCCAGACAUAGAUAGGAUUGACAGACUGAUAGCUCUUUCUUAAUUCUAUGGGUGGUGGUGCAUGUCCGUUAUUAGUUGGUGGAGUGAUUUGUUUGGUUAAUUCCGUUAACGAACGAGACCUUAACUUGCUAAAUAGUUUCCAGAACUUCGGUUCUCGGGUUACUUCUUAGAGGGAUUUUGUGUGUUUAACACAAGGAAGUUUGAGGCAAUAACAGGUCUGUGAUGCCCUUAGAUGUCCUGGGCUGCACGCGCGCUACACUGAUGUGUUCAAUAAGCACCUAACCUACUCCGAAGGGACUGGGUAACCUCUGCAAAGCACAUCGUGAUGGGGAUAGAUUAUUGCAAUUAUUAGUCUUGAACGAGGAAUUCCUAGUAAGCGCAAGUCAUCAGCUUGUGUUGAUUACGUCCCUGCCCUUAGUCCACACCGCUCCGUCGCUCGCUACCGAUUGAGUGAUCCGGUGAAUACUUCGGAGUGCAGACUGUACAGUUUAUGUUUAGUUUGCGCAAAGUUGAAUAAACCUUAUCAAUUAGAGGAAGGAGAAGUCGUAACAAGGUAGCCG
rnacentral:rRNA from 1 species